rnacentral:rRNA from 1 species
UACGUAGGGGGCAAGCGUUGUCCGGAAUUAUUGGGCGUAAAGAGCGUGUAGGCGGUCCGGUAAGUCAGCUGUGAAAGUCAAGGGCUCAACCCUUGAAAGCCGGUUGAUACUGUCGGGCUAGAGUCCGGAAGAGGCGAGUGGAAUUCCCGGUGUAGCGGUGAAAUGCGCAGAUAUCGGGAGGAACACCAAUGGCGAAGGCAGCUCGCUGGGACGGUACUGACGCUGUGACGCGAAAGCGUGGGGAGCAAACAGG